UACGUAGGGGGCAAGCGUUGUUCGGAAUUACUGGGCGUAAAGGGCGCGUAGGCGGCCCGGCAAGUCGGGAGUGAAAGCCCGGGGCUCAACCCCGGAGGGUCUCUCGAAACUGCCGAGCUAGAGUGCGGAAGAGGCAAUCGGAAUUCCCAGUGUAGCGGUGAAAUGCGUAGAUAUUGGGAAGAACACCGGAGGCGAAGGCGGAUUGCUGGGCCGACACUGACGCUGAGGCGCGAAAGCCAGGGGAGCAAACGGG
rnacentral:rRNA from 1 species